rnacentral:rRNA from 1 species
UAAUACGUAGGGGGCAAGCGUUGUCCGGAAUCAUUGGGCGUAAAGAGCGUGUAGGCGGCUUCGUCAGUCCGUUGUGAAAGUCCAGGGCUCAACCCUGGAAUGCCGAUGGAUACUGCGGAGCUAGAGUCCGGAAGAGGCGAGUGGAAUUCCUGGUGUAGCGGUGAAAUGCGCAGAUAUCAGGAGGAACACCUAUGGCGAAGGCAGCUCGCUGGGACGGCACUGACGCUGAGACGCGAAAGCGUGGGGAGCAAACAGGAUUAGAUACCCUGGUAGUCCACGCCGUAAACGAUGGGCACUAGGUGUGGGGGGUGUCGACUCCCUCCGUGCCGAAGCUAACGCAUUAAGUGCCCCGCCUGGGGAGUACGGCCGCAAGGCUA